rnacentral:tRNA from 1 species
GCCGUGAGCUGGUUUAGGUCAAUGGGAGCCGGCUCGCUUUCGCUGCGCCAUAAGUGGAUGUGCGCUUGCUCCUCGUCCGGGGCAUGGUUCACUGUG